UAUCACCUCUCACCUUUCAGACCACUGGAGAUCAGAAAGCGUGAUGACAACAACCUGGUAUAACUUCCUGAUUUUCAAAACUGUACUGUGGUUAAGAUGUUAACAUCUGAGGAAGCUCGGCGAACAACUCAGAAAAAUAAGGCACAGCUCAAAGGCCGUUCCCUCCACUCAAGUCUUGCCUAUGUGCAUCAGCUGGCAGCGAGAGACCCACCUGGACAGCAGCCUUAAAGAAAGAGGUCUAUUUGUGGGCUUUGAUGAAGAAGAAACGGCUGCCUGUAUUUUUAGCUCACAAAUCAACUUUUAAUUCUUCUCGUUCUACAAAUAGGAAGUAACAUUCCACAAAGUAGAAGCAAUAAAAAUUAAGAUGUU